UGGCUGCGGUAAUUUGACCGUGCAAAGGUAGCAUAAUCAUUAGUUUUUUAAUUGAAAGCUGGAAUGAAAGGUUGGAUGAGAAAAUAGCUGUCUCUAUUUAAAUUAAUUAGAAUUUUAUUUUUAAGUAAAAAAGCUUAAAUAAUAAUGGAAGACGAGAAGACCCUAUAGAGUUUUAUUUAUAUUUAUAGAAUUAUUUUUUUAGUAUUUAAAAAUUUUUUUAUAAAGGUAAAUUUAGUUGGGGAGAUUAAAAAAUUUAAUUAACUUUUUUUUUAUUUAUACAUUGAUUUAUGAAUAUAUGAUCCUUUAUUUAAGAUUAUAAGAUUAAAUUACCUUAGGGAUAACAGCGUAAUC
rnacentral:rRNA from 1 species